AUUGGGGGCAUAGAAAGGGAUCACUAAGUAAGCUUUUAGAGUUAGAAAGUUCAAAGGAGGUUAGGGAAAAUAGAGGAAGGGAAUUUCAGAGGAGGAGGUGGCAAGAAUGUAGCCUUCAGGUGAAAAAUAGUGUAGUAUAUUCUGAGCAGUAAAGAGAUCAGCAUUCCUAGAGCUUAAAAUAUUGAGCAGAGAAUAGCAGAAGAUGAGUCUCUACAAGUCAGAUUACAGAAGGUCUGUUUGUUAUGUUAAAGGUUCAGAUUUAUCUUCUUGGUGAUGGAAAUUCAAUAAAGUAAGGAAACAAUGGGGUCCCUCCAGGGGAGUAUGAAAGGUGGAUCCACGGGUCAGAGAGAACAGUGAAGAGGGCAUUGCUGAAGUCUAGGAGAAACAGCCUUCGGUUAUUUAUGUUUCCAUACUGUUUCUUACAGACUCAGCCCAGGUAUCUGAUCUUUCCAACAUCUAUGCAUAAGCUUUUCUCAAGCAGUGCUGGUGAUCUCCAUACUCCAUCUUCUUCCUGAAAUAUUUACUGAUUAUCUGCAUUCAAGUAUGUUAUAAACUAUUUUAAUUUGACAUAUAAAUAUCAGUCAUGUAGCUAACUGCACCCACCUUCCCAGGAGCAUCUGCUUUUUGUGACAGAGACUCUGACUUUCAAGGGCCUUGCCUUAUUACACUAUGCCCCACUAUUCAACCUGUCUUCCUACCAAUGCACUACUAUGCGCCCUGUGCUGCAGUUAUGCAUGUCUUCACUGUUCUAAAAAGUAAAGCACAUGGUGUGCAUAUCACAUGGCUGGAGUAAUCAUUAGGGCAGUGAAGAUUUUCUGAGGUGUCCCCAUCAUAUCACACCUGUUGGGGAAUGCCACAGGCAGCUCUGUGAGGGUGUGCUGCUGCUUCUGAGAUGGUAUAUUCCCACACACAUUGCCUCAUUCGUAACAAGUUUUCAGCUACAGAUUAGGAAUACUAUUCAUCCCUUCUGUCUUAGCAGAAUGUUAGGAACAUUUGAAUCAGUGCUACUUUUUUUUUUUUUUUAAAUCAGGUUUUACUGCUGUUUGCUGUUUACUGUCACAAUCACAGAAGUAAAGGCUAACCCAUUUUCAUCUUUAAGAAAAUUGUGUUUUACAAUAUGUCAAACAAUCUCCAAAUGAAUAGAAGAAAAAAAUGCCCACAGGAUUUUCUUGGACUCACUGUCAUAUCUGGAUACUUUAUUUUCAGAUGUUCUGGCUUUUCCCAGGCUGAUAGGAUGGCUGGGCUAACAAUACAAACACCUUAAGAGCUCUCUUCUCUACUCAGUCUGGACCUAGAAUGUGCAGCUUUAGGAUUAAGGGUACUAAUUUUAGAGUCAGACUGAUUUGAUUCCUGAUUAUCACUUACAAACUGUGAGAUGUCUUUAGGGUGGUUGUAGGGAUUAAAUGUGAUCAUCUGCAUUGCUAGUAUAUAGUAAGGGCUCAACAAAUGAAGGCUGCUAUGGAAUUAUGACUAUUAAUAAUUCAUGAUUUAAUUUAAGACAUUGCCAGGCAAAGGCUGGGACUGCUUUUUCAUCAGGCCUCAGCUAUAUGGCUACAAUAUAGAGCGGUUCCUUUUCAGAUAUGCACACACACUUGCUUCUCAUCACUGAUGAUGCUUGCUCUCUCUAGUCAAUUAAUAUGAUCCACCUCUUAGGGUAAUCAUUUCCCUAAGGACCAAAUGUGCUUGCAUUCAGUGGCACCCAUUGUAAUGCAAUUAAUUUUUUCCAAUAAUUUACAUCUAAUAGAUAGGUACAUUAUAAAUGAGGGCCAUAAUAAUAAGCUACCUCCUGUUUGCUCAUUUUGAAGAGAUUCAUUAGGGACAGUGGUCCUCAAUGUUAAUGAAGUGACAAAAUCUAAUUAGAAGAUUGUAGCUACACAUGCUAGUGGUAGAAUAAGAAGAAUUGCCACCUAACAGGUAAUGUCACUAUCUGUGCCUUGUUUUUGCCCUCCAUGGGGGUUGUUUUCACUUUGGUCCAGAUCUCACUGUUUUCUUGGGCCUGUUUCAGGUCUCCACCAUCUUCUGAAUGCUGGCAAAUGCCUAAGCUGUAAACAGCUUGCUUUUCUGCAGAACAGCUCAUGCCUGAAAAGGUUGAUAAUGAUUUCAAAAUUUCUUAUAAUUGAGUUUUUAAUUACAACACAGAUAGCAAAUAUCCCUAUCACAUGUAAUUUUGACAAAGAUAACAAGCAAUUUCAUAUUCUUUGGAGAACGUUUGACAAGUGUGGGAGCCCACAGUUAAGUACCGACUGCCUUGUUUUUAGACAGGAAUAUCUGACAACCACUCACUCAGGGAAGGUUAGGAACUGGAACAUCUGGAUCUCAAUAAAUUGUUCAAUAUAACAGUCCAAGUGCUAUAAUGCAAGCUGCUACUGGGAAUGUAAAUCUGACUGGCUGGCUUAGGAUCUUAUCUUUCUAAUUAAUAGACCACAUCUAUGAAUUGGGAUACUGUAGAGACAGUUGGUGUAUGGGCACAGUUUCAUCUUAAAUAAUUUUUUUUAUCUUCAGAUCUUAUCACAUCAGAAAAAAAAUGCAAAUAAAUUAUUCCAAAAUGCAAAGCUUACACUUGAAAUGGGUACCAUGUUUCUUUGCUACUUUUCUUUUAUUGGCAUUUACUUAAGAGUUCUAGAGCCAUGUCCAGAUUUUCAGAACUCCAGAACUAAAACUAGACAAAGAAAUUUCUCCAUCUUGGAGAGUAGAGAACCCACCCACAUUAGCUGGACUACUAGCACCUCCCACAGACUCUCAAAGGUCAUUUUCAUAACCCCCAUGCCUCCUAGUAACAUCCAAAGGCUCAAGCUGAUAUAUCUUUUCAACCACAAACCAGUAAUUAUCAGACUUUUGCAUUUCAAAAACCUGGAAAACAAAAAUUCUUCUUAAUUCAAGUCCUAAAGAGUGGUCAACUUCUUAUUUUACUAAGUAAAAAUCAUUAAUUUUUUUCCUUUUCACUCAUUUGUUAAUUCAGUGAAUAUUUACUGAGCACAUACUAUGUGCAGCUACUAAGGUAUGUUCUGGGAAUGCAAUGAAAAUCGAAGCUAGAUAUAGCCCAUGACCUCAAGCAUUGUAUAGUCUAGUGGGGGAGAUAGUCACCAUUAAUUACCUUAAUAUAUAUCAAAUUUACAUUGAACUACGUACUCUGCAGGAAAUAGACAUGGUUCUCUGCAAGCGUGCCGUAUUAUACAUUAAUAUUAUAUGGAAUGAGAGUAUCAGGGAAAUAUUUCCCUUAAAAAUUAGUGCUUCCACUGAACAAAUCUCAGAUUAUACAGGCCAAUUAUACAUGGUUAGGAUUUGGAGCUUUCUGUUAAGAGUAACUAAAGGUAACUAAAGAAUUUUGAGCAGGAUUGAUGUUUUUAAAGAAUUCCUCUGGAUACUAUUAGGGAAAGGAUUGGAAGAACAGCAAAAGUGGAAGGAGAGAGAUCAGUUAGAAUGGCAUUUCAGUGGCCUAGAUAUGACCCGUGUGAUGGCCAUGGUGCAAGUAACUAGUUGGAUUUAAAACAUAUCUUGAAAUUAGGAUUUUUGAGACUCUGACAGAUGAAGAGAAAGGAAAGAAAGAGAGAAGUAUCAAGGAUGAUUCUCAUAUUUCCGGCAAGAGCAACUUGCCAUUUGAUACACCAUUUACUGAUCUCUAAAGACCAAGAAAGGAGCAGGUUAGGGUAGGAAGGAAGAAUCAAAGGUUCCUUUUGGGGCUUGUUAAAUUUAAGAUGCCUAUGAUAUAUCCAAGACAGGAGAAUAUAGAUGUCAGAAGCUUAGAGGAGGGUUUUGAUGCUAGAUAUACAUUUAGGAGUCAUCAGCAUAUCGAUGGUAUUUAAAGCUGUGGGAGUCAAUAAGAUUUCACAGGAAUAAGCAUGAUGGAAAUUAUAACAUUUUGAGGCCUGAGACAGAAGGCAAAAUCUUCAGAGCAUCUUUCUAUGAAAGGAAUUACAUUUUAACACCCACAAGGUAGAAAGAACAUAUUAUCAGUCCUUUAAAUUAAGGACAUUUGGCUGCGUGAAAUCUUCUCUCCAUUGUCUUUAUCAUUCUCAUUUUGCUGCAGACCAGUGAGAACUUUGUUGUGAAACAGCAGUGGCAAACCACUACCAUGGAGUUUCUGCAACUGCCUUAGGCAGCAAUGACCUCAUUUUGGUAGCAGAAAGUCUUGUCCAAACCCAGACUCACCUGACCUCUUAGAGUUUCCAAGCUUAAAACACAUCUGGAGUUUCUGAAUCAAUUUAGGAAGGACUGAAAGUCACAAAGUAGCACAGAUCCUACAAUAUGACAUCCGUUCCCUCCUAUCCUACACUGCAAAAUCUGUUUCUAUGCAUUUUGUAGCAUUCCUAAGUCUGGGGACUUCACUGCAAACUGUACAUCGUCAGUCAUAUGUAGGGUUUAAAAAAAACUUGCACAGAUAUCACCUCUUCCUGCCGAUCACAGUACUGGUAUUUAUUGCCGUAUUUUUUCCUACUGAACCUAAUGUAAGUUUCUACAUCCUCCUGUUACAGUGUCCAAGACAGUCUUGAUCAAUCAGAUUGAAUAUGGGAGAUAAUAGUAAUAAUAAUAAAAAUAAUUUUAUUAGACUUAUAGCUGCUAUAAUUAAUAACAUUUUUAGUACUUUGUCUCAUGCGCUACACUAAGUGUUGUCUAUGCCUCACCUUAUGUAAACAUUAACUGCAACUUAGAAGAUUGCUAAGAGGUGAAGAAACAUUUUACAGAUGAAGAAACAGGCUGAACAACAAGCAUCCCAGGUGUACGUUUCAUUAUUGUUUAUACAUUGUGUUGCAAUUAUAUGCUAUUAUCUGCUUCGAUGAAAACUCUCCAACGACUGAGACUCUGAACUUUCCAAUUUGGAAUCUUAACAUCUAACAGUGCUUGGCAUCUUUAAGGUGUGUAUUCAAUGUUGAAUUAUGGAAGACCUUAUGUACUUUAUAGUGAUAGAAGCUUUCAAAGGGCAGUGGUUCUGUCCUGUGUGAUUUGGACCCUCUUACAGCACCUAACGUAAUACUCAAUAAGUAUUUGGAAGGUUGAGUAUGUGGAUUUAAAAUUGGCUGGAAAAACUCGAGUAAGCUCAGAAGUUUCUGAGUGAUGGUGCCAGUAGAGGCAUCACUACUGAAGGAGGAUUGAGAUGAACCUCCUGAUAUGCUCUUGCCGCAACGGUGGCUCUGACUCUUAUUUAAGCAUUCUUAUUCAUGACCUGGAGAGAAAAAAAAAGGAAGAAGCUGCUCAUUUUUAGAAUUCACUAAUGAUUCUAAUUUGGAAAGUAUCUUGAGCAGCUCAGGCAACAGAAAUAAAAUGCAAAUGACCUUUGAGACUCGAGGUAUGUAAGCUGGGAAUAAUAACUUUGUGAGCAUUUGAAAAAGGCAAGGCAGUGAAUACACCUGGGGAAAGAGAAUCCAAACACAGAGCUGUUCUGGGAAGCAGACGCCAGAUCGCAGUGAUGCCAAAGUAGACCCAGGAGGCACAGUGGUUUGCAAAUUAAAUUCAGGCCAGCCAUGCAGUCUGGCAAGAUGAAAGAGAAGUCCAGGUUGAGGCUGCCUUGCAGAAGGGCACGGAAUAACAGUUCCUCUGUGGACAGUUGUAGCUGAGCAGCACCUGGCACCACACGUUGUGUUCCCACCACUUCAUUACUAGGGAAGCUCAGGCAAUUUGGAAGUGCAGAGAAUAGCAAUAAGAGUGAAUGAAUUCAGGAGCCCGCGGAAAGGAUGCGGAUGAAAGAUUAAAAGGAUUAGAUAGCUAUAGUUUAGCUACAGAAAGCUAAGGGAAGAGAAAGGAGAGGCCUGGAAACUAAUAAUAAAUAUUCAAGUCUGUUCUAAAAUAGCCAAGUGGAAAUUUGCAGAGUAACCAUCAAAUUAAGAUUUGCAGUUGAAAAUGGACAUUUUCUUCCAAGUCAUAGGCUUCUUGCCUGAACCAGCACUCUGCCUACCCAGGUGCUCAGUAAAUACUAUCUUAUAGAAUAACUUUUGUUUGCCAAGAGUAUAGGAUCUGGGAAUUAGACCAACUGUGAAAGCACAUGAAAAAAUCAGCCAACUGGCUCCUUAGCGCCCCGUGAGGACAGGAGUAAAGGAACCAGAUUUUUGUUGUGUUGUUCAAGUCAUACUCUUUUCAACAAUGAAGUUACCUCUUCCCAUUCAGACAAAGAACAAAAUAGAAACCUUUUUAGCACAGGGAAUGCCUAAGACACGGUUGACUAGGCUGGUUAAAUCUCAGCGUUGCAAUUUUCUUUAUGCCAAAGGGAACAAGCAAAAUACUGAUGCCCACCCCCUCAGACACACCUUCCUAGGCAAUGGAGGGGGUGUAGAAAAGGCUGUACUUCUGGACUAACAGACUUGAUGGACUUCACCUUAAAGGAUCAACUGCUUGAUAGGCCAAAGCAGGUGGCUCACGAGUCAGGAGUUUGAGGCCAGCCUGACCAACAUAGUGAAACCCCGUCUCUACUAAAAAUA